GACGAACGCUGGCGGCGCGCCUAACACAUGCAAGUCGAACGGAGUUUCCCCUUCGGGGGGAGCUUAGUGGCGGACGGGUGAGUAACACGUGAGGAACCUGCCUUUGAGAGCGGGAUACCGUCUGGAAACGGACGUUAAUACCGCAUAAUGCAGCGAGGCCACAUGGCCAUGCUGCCAAAGAUUUAUCGCUCAAAGAUGGCCUCGCGCCUGAUUAGAUAGUUGGCGGGGUAACGGCCCACCAAGUCUGCGAUCAGUAGCCGGACUGAGAGGUCGAACGGCCACAUUGGGACUGAGAUACGGCCCAGACUCCUACGGGAGGCAGCAGUGGGGAUAUUGCACAAUGGCGAAAGCCUGAUGCAGCGACGGCCGCGUGAGGGAAGACGGUUUUCGGAGUUGUAAACCUCUGUCUUCGGGGACGAAACAAGACGGUACCGAGGA
rnacentral:rRNA from 1 species